rnacentral:lncRNA from 1 species
GGCACUGUUACCACUCACGGCCCAGGGCUAUCCCUCGCCUGGCCUCUUGCCACCUCGGGCUUUCCUCUUGCCACCUCGGGCUUUCCACUGGCGUCGUGAGCAGCUCUUAACAUCCCUUCACCCUCACGGGUUCCAGGCAGGAUUUGUCCCCUUGGGUUCUCGUCAAACGCAUCCUUCCCCAAGUGGAUUUGGCCCAAAUUUCCCUUAGGAAAUUAGGUCGCCUCCCCCACUGCUCGAACCCUUGACCUCCCACUUUAAGGGAAUAGUCUGGUGAGAGUGAGUACCAAUUGUUCCAA